CUCUGUAGACCAGGCUAGCCUCAAACUCACAGAGAUCUGCCUGCCUCUGCCUCCCAAGUGCUGGGAUUAAAGACGUCCGCCACGAUCGCCUGGCUCCAACUGCGUCUCCGGGCCGACCUACAGGAUUUCUGGAAGUACAACUGUAAAGAGCUUCUGAUUUCAUCUUGGAUUAAGAGGAUCUUAUGGGUUGGAUAUGUUCAAGCAUGAGAAACUGAAUUCAGUUCUCCAACACCCACAUAAAAGGCAGGUUUCCAAAAACAGAGACAUACCAGUGUAGCGAGCAAGACUUCUGGAAACUGUGUCUGUGUAUAGUGCACGCUGCCCUGUUUACAUCACUCAUCUCUGGUGUCCUGUACUCUAACCCUCCUUAUGUCUGAGCCUUUGAAAGUGAAGAACUAAGAGAAGAGUGCUUGCCUCAUGACAGGGACUGCAUGUGGGGAUCUAAACGCACUUAUGCCGAGAAAUGCCUGUGUAACUGACAUAUCCUUUUGUUACUGUUAAGAUCCCUAAGAGCUAAGUCAAUGUAGGGGCGUCUGGAUCUAAUCCCCAGCACCCCAAAUAAAAAA